AAAUAAUUAGUUAAUAUAUAAUAUUAGAUUGUCAUUCUAGAGUUAAUAAUUUUUAUUAUUAUUUA
rnacentral:tRNA from 1 species